UUGUCUCAGAGAAUUUAUUGUCCUGACAGCAGAGGCCGAUGGUGGGAUCGACUGGCCCUUAAUUUACACCAGCACUUGAAGCGCCUGGAACCGGAGCCUGAUGUGUGACCAUGCUCUCUGCCAGACUAUCAAGUGCAUCACAGAGGGGCUAGCGGAUCCAGAAGUCAGAACGGGACACCGCCUUUCACUGUAUCAGCGAGCCGUGCGCCUGCGAGAGUCUCCGAGCUGUAAAAAGUUCAAGCACCUCUUCCAGCAGCUCCCAGAAAUGGCUGUGCAAGAUGUGAAACACGUGACCAUCACAGGCAGGCUGUGCCCACAGCGUGGGAUGUGCAAGUCUGUGUUUGUGAUGGAGGCCGGGGAGGCCGCUGAUCCCACCACGGUCCUGUGCUCUGUGGAGGAGCUGGCACUGGCCCAUUACAGACGCAGCGGUUUUGACCAGGGGAUUCAUGGCGAAGGGUCCACCUUCAGCACCCUGUAUGGCCUCCUCCUGUGGGACAUCAUCUUCAUGGAUGGGAUUCCGGAUGUCUUCAGAAACGCCUGUCAGGCAUUCCCCCUGGACUUGUGCACAGACAGCUUCUUCACAAGCAGACGCCCAGCCCUUGAGGCCAGGCUGCAGCUGAUUCAUGAUGCCCCCGAGGAGAGCCUGCGGGCCUGGGUGGCAGCCACGUGGCAGGAGCAGGAAGGCAGAGUGGCUUCCCUUGUCAGCUGGGAUCGCUUCACGUCUCUUCAGCAAGCUCAGGAUCUUGUCUCCUGCCUGGGGGGCCCUGUGCUCAGUGGUGUGUGCAGGCACCUGGCUGCUGACUUUCGACACUGUCGAGGGGGCCUCCCCGACCUGGUGGUGUGGAACUCCC
rnacentral:sRNA from 1 species